rnacentral:rRNA from 1 species
AUUGAACGCUGGCGGCAUGCCUAACACAUGCAAGUCGAGCGGAGCGGCGGACGGGUGAGUAAUGCCUAUGAAUCUGCCUGGUAGUGGGGGAUAACGUCCGGAAACGGUCGCUAAUACCGCAUACUAUCAGAUGAGCCUAGGUCGGAUUAGCUAGUUGGUGGGGUAAAGGCCUACCAAGGCGACGAUCCGUAACUCGGCUGCGAGGAUGAUCAGUCACACGGGAACUGAGACAGGGUCCAGAGUCCUACGGGAGGCAGCAGUGGGGAACAUUGGACAAUGGGCGAAAGCCUGAUCCAGCAAUGCCGCGUGUGUGAAGAAGGUCUUCGGAUUGUAAAGCACUUUAAGUUGGGAGGCGUUACCAGCAGAAUAAGCACCGGCUAACUUCGUGCCAGCAGCCGCGGUAAUAC